UGGGAAGUCCUUGUGUUGCAUUCCU
rnacentral:rRNA from 1 species